UGUGGGAGGGGGCUUGCCCCCGAUAUAGGUGUAUGAGUCGACAUGUGUAUGACUGAUGCACCGCUAUCGGGGGCAAGCCCCCUCCCACA
rnacentral:misc_RNA from 1 species